UACGUAGGUGGCGAGCGUUGUCCGGAUUUAUUGGGCGUAAAGCGCGCGCAGGCGGUGCGGUAAGUCUGUCGUGAAAUCUCCCGGCUCAACUGGGAGGGUGCGGUGGAGACUGCCGGACUGGAGGCACUCAGAGGCCGGUGGAAUUCCCGGUGUAGUGGUGAAAUGCGCAGAUAUCAGGAGGAACACCGAUGGCGAAGGCAGCUCGCUGGGACGGUACUGACGCUGAGGCGCGAAAGCGUGGGGAGCAAACAGG
rnacentral:rRNA from 1 species